GUCCCUUCGGGGACAUCUGAUAAAAUUAGAACGAUACAGAAAAGAUUAGCAUGGUCUCUACGCAAGAAUAACAUCACAAAUCGAGAAAACCCGAAUAAAUGA